AUUUAUAUAGUUUAAAAAAACAUUACACUUUCACUGUAAAGAUAAAGAAAAACUUUUAUAAAUA
rnacentral:tRNA from 1 species